rnacentral:rRNA from 1 species
AUGGCCGCAUCCUGCUCGUUCCGUACCAUCGUCCGAGCUCCGCCGCCUCCGCGGGGCCUCGCCGGGGCCAGGAGAUCAGUCCGCUGCUGCAGCAGCGCCGCUCCCGCAGGCGCCUCCACAUCCAAGCUCGUCCUGGAGGUGAAAGAGAGGCUCGAAAGGGAGCAUCCGGGCCUCCCGACGGGCAGGAGCGGCAGGGAUGACGACGAGAUGAUCCUCUGGUUCUUGAAGGACAGGAAGUUCGCCGUCGACGAAGCCGUCUCCAAGCUGGCCAAGGCCAUCAAAUGGCGUCAGGAUUUCCGCUUGUCAGAACUAUCAGAAGAAUCAGUGAAAGGGUUGUACCAAACUGGCAAGGCAUAUGUGCAUGAUUCUUUUGACAUCAACGGCAGGCCUGUGUUAGUAGUAGUGGCAGCCAAACAUUUCCCUUCUAAACAAGACCCACUUGAAAACGAGAAGCUAUGUGCCUUUUUGGUCGAAAAGGCUCUACGUAAACUUCCCAUGGGAACAGAUAAUAUACUUGGAAUUUUCGAUCUUCGAGGCUUCGGUGUAGAAAAUGGUGAUCUCCAAUUCUUAAAGUUUUUGAUUUUUCAGAUUGAUGUGUUCUACUAUUACUAUCCCAAGCGGCUUGGCGAAGUUCUGUUUGUCGAUGCACCAUUUGUGUUUCAGCCAAUGUGGCAGCUCGUUAAGCCUCUGCUGAAACAAUACGCCUCCUUGGUGAGAUUUUGUGAUGCCGAGACCGUGAGAAAGGAGUACUUCACAGAAGAAACCGUGCCUCCCGAUUUCCGCCGUUAG